rnacentral:rRNA from 1 species
GGGGAAUCAUGCGCAAUGGGCGAAAGCCUGACGCAGCCAUGCCGCGUGGAUGAUGAAGGUCUUAGGAUUGUAAAAUCCUUUCAGCGGGGACGAUAAUGACGGUACCCGCAGAAGAAGCCCCGGCUAACUUCGUGCCAGCAGCCGCGGUAAUACGAAGGGGGCUAGCGUUGCUCGGAAUUACUGGGCGUAAAGGGCGCGUAGGCGGACAGUUCAGUCGGGGGUGAAAGCCCGGGGCUCAACCCCGGAAUUGCCUUCGAUACUGGCUGUCUUGAGUAUGAGAGGGGUGUGUGGAACUCCGAGUGUAGAGGUGAAAUUCGUAGAUAUUCGGAAGAACACCAGUGGCGAAGGCGACACACUGGCUCAUUACUGACGCUGAGGCGCGAAAGCGUGGGGAGCAAAC